rnacentral:rRNA from 1 species
UGGCGAGUGGCGGACGGGUGAGUAAUACAUAGGAAUCUGCCUUAUAGAUUGGGAUAACUACUCGAAAGAGUGGCUAAUACCGGAUGUGGACUACGGUUUAAAGCAGGGGAUCUUCGGACCUUGCGCUAUAAGAUGAGCCUAUGCAAGAUUAGCUAGUUGGUGAGGUAAAGGCUCACCAAGGCGACGAUCUUUAGCUGGUCUGAGAGGAUGAUCAGCCACACUGGGACUGAGACACGGCCCAG